CUCCGGCAGGGGAAAGGCUGCCUUGCCUGCCCCGCCCCCCUCCUCGCCAGCCUCUCCCUGCAGCCGGCUCCAGCCCCCCUGAUCCCUGGGGCAGAUUCUCCGGCCUCCUGGGGACACCCCCCCCCCUACCACCACAAGGAGGAGGGGGCGGCAACGGAGACCCCCCUUUCUGCCUCUGGGAGUCUGUUCUUCCUGCUUGGGGAGGGGCUUCCAGGGAGGAAGGAGGAGCAACAUCUCCAGUCCCCAGCGGUAACCCCAGGCGCCACAUCAAGGCAGAGAAGAGCAGGAAGUCUAUUCAUCAUAAAACUGGAGAGAGACAGAAUUCAGAAACCAGGCCAGAACUGGAAGAAGCCUGUCUUCAUACCCAAGGAAUCUUUUCACAGUCAGAGGCGACCCAAUAGAAGAAGAGGAUGGAAGAGCAGGACCAAGGAGGACCUGUACUUGGCAAGAGAGCGAGGAAAGACCCCCAUCCUAUCCAAGCUGAGAGUGUUGUUGCAUUCUGGGAGAGAGCUGGGCCAGAGGACUGGGAUCGGAAGCCCCUGAACACAGAAGUACCUUGCCGACGCUUCCGGCAGUUCCUCUACCGUGAUGCCGA